CCUGGUAGAAGGAGGGUUUCUUGCUACCUGCUUUCAAAGAAAGGAGCAGGGGAGUGAAUAAUAUUUGACUGGAGGAGAGCUGGGAAAAUGGCACCCCUGAGCAGAGAGGCCUGGGGGGAAGAGGCUGUUUUGUGCAGAGCAGGUGGGGAAUCUUUUGAUGAGAUUCUUUGUUGGGAAAAGCUGAUGUGUUGAAAUUAGUCCUGCUUUCAGGAAAUUUUCAAGUAUUGUGGAUGUAAUCCAAUCUCAGGGAUUCAGGGGGAGGCUUGCAUGAAUUAAAAUAGCUGUUCCUGAAUUUCCUUAAGCAAAAGUUUUCACUUUGAAACUUCAAUUCAAUUUAAUCAAAUAAGUAAACAGAGGUUGGUUUCUUUCUCUUACCAAUAUUGAUUGAUCAACACACAUUCUUCUGGGAUUUCUUAUUUUUUUUUAUUAUUCAUGAAAGAAAAGGUCCAAGGCUUGACUCCUGUUUCUGACUGAGCCCAGGAAUUUUUUUUUUUCAUAAUAUCCAAUUCUCGUGGGACAGAAAAGCAUCCUCCCUUUACCCACCCUUUAGUUUUAACCAUGUAGCAGAAAGGUAGUCUCUGUUUUUUAUUUAUUCAAGAGUCUUUAGGGCUAGUCUGGGUAGAGCUGGGUGGUUGGGAUUUGAAGUGGCAGCUGGGAAAAGAUCAGCUCAGGCUUGCAGCUUGUAACAAAUGCCCAAACGCUGCCCUCUCCUCCCUAAUAGUUCAGCUCUUCUAUGGAUGUGGGGUCUUUGUUUUGUUUCUCACUUUUGGCCUAGAGGUGGUGCGAGAUGCUAGCCGGUGAACUGGAGCAAGUAUGGACAGUGUAAACUUCUGCUGCAGGCUCACCUGCUUUGAAUCCCCUUUGAUUUUAGAAGGACUAUCUGUAGAGAAGAGAGAGGCUGAAACUGCAUUUGGUAGCCACCCUCCCUGCCCAUCCUUUUGACACUGGUAGUGGUGGUAAAAUGUUACCUGGUCUGAGAAGCAUCUAAAGCACAAGGUCUUUGUGAUCUGCUCAUGAAAGGAAUACAGAAGAGGAAUGGCUACAAUGCAGCCACUGGAUGUGAGGCUUCCACAGGUGUAGGCCUUAAUGAGGUGUUAAUUGGAGAGGCUUAUGUAUAUAGGGCAGUGGCUAGACCUGUGUGAUUAUGGAGGGCUGUGAGCAUCUGUUACUAGCCUUUCUUUGUGGUCUUUGCUUACACCCAGCUUGCACUGGUGUAGUUAAACAAAUGCAGUGCUCUGUGUAGGUGCUGCUUGCUUUCUCCUGGAGUGGUUGGUUUAGCCUGCUGCUAAUGGACUUAAUCUGAAGGACAAUAUUUUCUUACCAAACUAAAGUAGUGGGCACCCUAAUUGAAGUUACACUGUCAUAACAAAGUUGGGCUAAAAACUGCACCUCCAAACGGUUUGAUGCUGUGUGCAUACUCAAUCCCUUGGAACGAAACCAUGGACUUGUGUGCAGACUGGUUAACAGAUAGUUGACUAUAAAGAUGUUUUUGCUUUUCCAAUUGUACCAGAUACCCUUCAGAAUUGCUGCGACUCAUUUUCACUUGGCUGCC